AUCCACCCGCCUUGGCCUCCCAAAAUGCUGGGAUUACAGGUAUGAGCCACUGUGCCCGGCAAGUUGACAUAUUUAAUCAGGCUUCAAAAAUACUUGGUCAUUGUUGCUUUAACUACUGCUAUGUCCCUUUCUGUCUUUUGUCACCUUCAGGGGCUGCAGGUCUACAUUUCACAUAUGUCUCUGAUGCUCAAUUUUUGUUUUCCCCGCAGUAUUUUUCUCUGUGUGCUUCAGAUUGGAUAUCUUAUACUGACCUGUCUUUGAGUUCCCUAAUUCUACCGUCUCUAUGUCCUGGCUGCUAUCAAACCCAUGCAAUUAGUUCUCAAUUUCAGAUGUUUUAUAUUGCACUACUAGAAUGGCCUUUUAUUUAUUUAUUUUUAUUUUUUUCAAGACAGAGUUUCACUCUUGUUGCCCAGCUGGAGUGCAGUGACUUGAUCUCAGCUCACUGUGCACCCUCCAUUUCCCAGUUUCAAGUGAUUCUCGUGCCUCAGCCUCCCAAGUAGUUGGGAUUACAGGUACCCGUCACCAUGUCUGGCUAAUUUUUGUGUUUUUAGUAGAGGUGGGGCUUCACUAUAUUGGGCAGGCUGGUCUCGAACUCCUGGCCUUGUGAUCUGCCCACCUUGGCCUCCCAAAGUGCUGGGAUUACAGGCAUGAGCCACCACUCCCGUCCUAGAAUGGCUUUUUAUAGACUAAGUCUCCACUGAAAUAUUUUUAUCUUGUCAUAUAUCUUGCCCAUUGUUUUCUCUAUUUUCUUUAAUAUACAGAGCUGGAAGAAAAACUGGCAGAAACUCUGACAUGAGAGAAUUGCAGAAGGGAUGAGACCCAAAAUCGGCAUAUAAGCUUUGCUAAAUCUCUGGCUGACCGCAAAACUAUACAUGAGCUGGCAGUGAGCAGAGAUCGCGCCACUGCACUCCAGCCUGGGCGACAGAGCGAGACUCCGUCUCAAAAAGAAAAAAAAAGAAAGAAAGAAAGAAAGAAAUGCCAAAGCAAAUUUGGGGAACAGUCCACCUGCUGCGUGAGGACUCUGGCCCCGCACGCCAGGGGAAUGACUUUGUCUGAGGUCACCUGGAACCUCCCACUCAACAAAUGCAGCUCGGGCCCUACCGGCCCCCAUGGCCCUGAGGAGGGAAUUAAAAUGGGGCACUCCCGUCCUCAGGAUGCUUUGCUCCAUGUGCCAGAAGGCAGCCGUGACAUACUGAUUAGUUACAACACAGGUCUUUUACUAUACACAGGCUAAGAUGUCUGCCCUGUGCAGUGUCCCACCUGUGUAACCUUACAAGGCUGCCCCUUGUGCAGUGCACCACCUGUGUAACCUUACAAGGCUGCCCUUUGCAGUCCUCCUCCUGCUCUUCCUUGUAAGUGUUGAAGCAGUUGCUCAUUAACGGUGCAAUUCGGAUCGUAUCAGUGCAUGUUUGUCACUUGAGAUGUGCAAAGAUCCCUACGCUGUGCUCACCCAGUGCCCUGCCUGGCACCAAGUAGGACACCAAUAACUGUAGAAUGAGCAACAUUGAAAUGUAAAUGAGACUUUUUUUUUUUUGAGACAAGGUCUUGCUAUGUCACCCAGGCUGGAGUGCAGUGGCGUGAUCACUGCAACCUUGACGUCCUGUUCUCAAGAGAUCCUCCUGCCUCAGCCUCCCGAGUAGCUGAAACUAGGCACACGCCACCACACCUGGCUAAUUUUCAUAUUAUUUGUAGAGACGGGGUUUUGCCAUGUUACCCAGGCUGGUCUUGAACUCCUGGACUCAAGUGUUCACUCGCUUCAGCCUCCAGAAGUGCUGGGAUUAUGGGUGUGAGCCACUGUACCCAGCACUCGAAUAAGACUCUUGUUAAGAGAUGUUUGGAACCAACCCCACCAGGGUGAAUGGAAGACAUAAUAUCUAUCUAUGCCUCAGAAUGUGCAGGAAAGAGAACACUGAAUUGAUUCCGCCAGCCCAGACUUUCUUCUCUUCUCUCUGUUGUCCAUCACAACAACCUCACCCCACAAGACAUCUCCACUCUCACCGCAAGACAGCAAUGGCCACAAAGGGACCCACUUGGAGGACCUUGGCAGGAUACUCCCCAGACAUGCUGGCUGAGUCCUGCUCCAAACUCCGGCUUUUGGAGGUGAUGAGCUCACUGUCGUCCAGCGGGGCCAAGUUCCCCAUCCUAAGUAUAGAUGAAGUUGCAUUCUUGGAAUAUAUAUAAAUCCUUAUUUUGGGAUGGGCCUAUUGGUGUCAGCGUCUGAUGUCUGUGUGAUUUUUUUUUGACCUGCGUAUCAGCAGGAUGGUGACACACCAGGAAGGUCGUAAACUGGUCCGUGUCACUGUGAACAACACUGGCCUAAGAGAGGAAGAAAAUGCAUUUGGAAAGCCCAGCACUUGGAAAUCCAUCUGGUGGCGGGGAGCAUGGAAAGGAUCUGGUGGCCCCGAAGAGUCACUCAAGGACACAACGGAGCCAAACACCCUUUUUCAUUUAUUUGGAUAGGUGGAAUUUAGUUUUAAUUAUUUAAGAGAAUACUUCAUGAGAUAUUUUCAAAGAGAAAUGGGAUCUUAAUAAUCUGGGGCUCAUUACACUCCUAGGCCAUGAAAUCUUUAUACAUCUCUGCUGGAGGUGCAGAGCAGCAGCCGGGCCUGGAGGACUGUGAACUUGGAGCGUGAGUGAGCAGAAGGUGGUGGCUGUGCUGUGUUAGAGGCUUCAUUUCCUUGUCUGGGGUCCUGAGUUCAAGGGUGAGGCCACUUCCCAGGUGAAGUCACGGGAAGGAGCAAUUCCAACAAUGGCCAUUGACAAUGAGGAGAACGGAGGCAGGCUGGACACAGUCACCAGACUGCGAGAGCCGGCCUGAGGAGACUUGGAAACUGUCCUCCGCCAACCUGGCUGAAUUUCACUCUUACUAAAGUUAACCCCACUCGAAGACUGGGGAAUUCCAGCACCUCAGGGGAGAGGCUGAGUUAUUUUUGCAACCCCAAAUUAAAUGAUGCAUGGUCGCUGGCUGUGCAUGCCACGGGGCUUGAUUUCCAUUCCCCUGAUUCACUCUUCCCUCCUCCAGGGCGCUCAGGCUCAUGGAAACUGAGGGAAGCUCAGGGCCCUGACGACCCACCAGGCCCUGGCCAGGACACUGCAUCCUGCUGGAAAGGAAUGCCCCGUGAGGGGCUCACGGUGGAUUUUUAAUCCCUGUUCAGGUUCCCUGCCCUCACCCGAAAGGCCCCCACCCUUGAGCUCCCCCGGCAGCCCUGCAUCUCUCUGGGGUCUUCCCAGGAUGUGCUACAGAAGCCCCAAGCUGCACACGACCCAGCUCCUCACAGGCCUUUCUCCCAGACCCACUCUCCUUAGGCCCCCUGCCCUGGGUGUCUGGGCCAGCCAGACCGCUUGCAGCCUCAGCAACCCCCAACAGCCAGCUGAUCAUCAAAUCCUGUCAAUGACAGAUCCUGAGCCCACCUCAGACCAACCCCUAUGACCCACUUGCCAGUUGGAGUCCUGGCCUCUACUCAGACCCUUGACAUCACUGUCCUCCGGUCUGACUGGUGGCCACAGUGGCCACCCACUCUGCCUGCGCCUGCCUUGGUCCACACUACCAGGAGUUUCCUUCCUGAAGAGGAUCCAAGGAUCCCAUCACACAUCUCAGCAGCCUUUGCCUGGACCCCUCCAGAUAGGAUUCAGACCUGCCCCUGACCUCCCUACUGGCCCUCUGUGUCCUGAGCACAUGGCACCCUGGUAUCUCUCUGCCACAGCCCAUCUUGGGUCUGCUGCCUGAAGACCCCUCCUCUCCUCCCGAGCAUGGAGGGCCCUGGGUGAUCUUAAGAGGCGGCGGAAGCAUUGCCUCCUUUCAGAGCCUUAGCAACUUGAUGGACGUUAUGGAAUAAAUGAAUGAGUUCUUCUCCAAAAGAGGGAGCAGGGGUUCUGUGUUCCUUCUGUCCACCAUCAUCACGGAAUCAGAGCACAUCUGAGAUGGGGGGACACAGCAAUCCUUUGCUCCUCUUCAUUGAUUACAGGGAAACUGAGGCAGAGGUGGAGCCAGCCCCUGGCCUCCUGACUCCCAGGACAGGCCAGAGGCUACGAGACCACAGCCUCCCGAAGGGGACUCCCAAACUGCAAGACCGGACCCUGGGCUCCCCAUGGCUGGAGCAAAUGCCUCUGUAUGUCCUCCCUCUGGAAAUUCCUCCCCGAGGGACCCUCCGGAGAGAAGGAUGUGACACUAACUCAGGACUCUCGAGGGUUCUUGGGGCACCUUUGAGAAGAGUCCAAGGCACUAAAAUAGACUGGGUUCCCAGGAGUAAACAACCAAAAGGCUUAGUUAGACUCCUACUUGGAAAGUAUGCCUACCUGUAUCCCUAUGCUGCUUAAACACCCCACCUCAGCAGAACCCCGCUAGGCACUGGGGCCCGGGUUCCCUGCAUCUCGCCCACUGUGUCGGCUAAGACCAUUUCAGCUGCAAGUAUGAAACCUGACACAAAUGGCUUGCGUGAUAAGGAAAGUAGUGGCCUUUUCCAAGGAAGGACUCUUGGCUCUAGGCUCACCAGUUUGGCCCCUUGGUGGCAUCUGCCUCCCUGCCUCCCUCCCUCCCUCCCUCCCUCCUUCCUUCCUUUCUUCCUUUCCUCCCUCCCUCCCUCCUUCCUUAUUUCUUCUUUCUUCUUCCUUCCUUUCUUUCUUCCGGCAGAGUCUUUCUCUGUUGCCCAGGCUGGAAUGCAGUGGUGCAAUCUGAGCUCACUGCAACCUCCACCUCCCGGGUUCAAGCAAUUCUCCCAUCUCAGCCUCCUGAGUAGGUGGGAUUACAAGGGUGAGACACCAUGCCCGGCUAAUUUUUGUAUUUUUAGUAGAGACGGAGUUCUGCCAUGUUGGCCAGGCUGGUCUCGAACUCCUGAACUCAAGUGAUCCACCCGCCCCAGCCUCCCAAAGUGCUGGGAUUACAGGCGUGAGCCACCACAUCUGGCUGGCUCUUGGUGGCAUCUUGAAGGCCAUUUUCUCACCCUUUAUCUCUGCCAAGCUCAGUAGAUAGGAUUCUGUGUGUCUUCUUUUGACCCAACCAUCAGCAGCAGCAGGGAAGGCAUCUUUGCCUCUGUCUUUUCUUUCUUUUUUUUUUUUUUAGAUGGAGUCUUGCUCUGUCUACCAGGCUGGAGUGCAGUGGCGCGAUCUCGGCUCACUGCAAGCUCUGCCUCCUGGGUUCACGCCAUUCUCCUGCCUCAGCCUCCCGAGUAGCUGGGACUACAGGCACACACCACCACGUCCAGAUAAUUUUUUGUAUUUUUAGUAGAGACGGGGUUUCACCGUGUUAGCCAGGAUGGUCUCGAUCUCCUGACCUCGUGAUCCGCCCGCCUCGGCCUCCCAAAGUGCUGGGAUUACGGGCGUGAACCACAGCACCCGGCCUUGCCUCUGUCUUCUUAUCAGCCAAGAAGCCUUUCCCAGCAUUCCUCAAUAGCCACCCCUCACAUCUCAUUGGCUAGGAUUGGGUCACAUGCCCCAGGCUAAGCCAAUCAUUGUCUAGGAGAAUCAUUGGCUUAGCCAAUCAGAGCCUAUGCCUGAGGCACACAGGGCAAUGCCUAGACCACAGGACAAAAUUGGGCUUUGUCAGCAAGGAAGGAGGGGUGGCUGUUGGGUGGCCUGUGAGGCUGUCACCCAUGUCCCCUCGCUUGUUCUGACAAAGGUUUUCAUAAAAGAGCCACUUCUAGCCUGUCGUGGUGGGACCCUCAGAUGUCCCUGUGCCCUCCAGCGUCUGGGCAACCUGAGGUUCUGGUAGGAGGAGAAGGCUACUUUGUAGAAGUCUGGAGGGCCUGGAAGAAGACAUCUCUGCCCAGACAGUCCAUUUAGUGUAGCUCGGGCCACCCCUUGCCAUCCCGUGUCUAGCAGGUGGCCUGGUGAGUGUGGACUCGUCAGGAGCCGGGCCUCUCUUCCUGCUAUCGCCCUCAGUCCAGCCGUGAGCUCAGCCACCACCUCACCAGUGCACACAUCGGCCAGACAGCCACCAGCAUUGCCUGCCUUGGGUGCCAUGGGGGUUUGGCCUGAACUCUUCACCAAGCGCGGCUCACGAAGGAGCUCACUUCAUCCUCACACCAGCCCCAGGCGUUGCUGACAUCCAGAGCUGGGGAAAGGGCAGGACAGAGGUUGAAGGAAGUCACCCAGAGUCCCACAGCUGGAACGUGGGGGAGCUGGGAUUCUAACCCAGGGCUCACACUGUCGCCCACACCCAUCCAGGUGAAAGUUUGUUUUAAAAAUUACAUAUAAUUCACAUGCCAUGAAAUUCACUACUUUUAAGUGUACAAUUUAGUGGUUAUUUACAAGGUUGUACAACUACCAUCAUAAUCAAUUUUAGAACAAGUUCAUCACCCCAAAACGAAACCAUGCACUUCUUAGCAGUCACCCCUUCCUCCCCGCAGCCAGCCCCUGUAAACCACGAAUCUACUUUUUGUCUCCAGGGACUUGCCUAUUCUGGACAUUUCACAUAAUGUGAUUUUAUGGCAUGUGGUCCUGGGUGCAUGGAAAAUCUUCCUUGACUUCGCAUAAUGUUUCAUCCUUGGUGUGGCCUAUGUCAGUGCAUUAUUCUUUUUUUUCGUUUUUUUUUUUUUUUUUUUUUUUUGAGAUGGAGUCUUGCUUUGUCGCCCAGGCUGGAGUGCAGUGGCACAAUCUUGGCUCACUGCAAGCUCCACCUCCCAGGUUCACGCCAUUCUCCUGCCUCAGCCUCCCAAGUAGCUGGGACUACAGGUGCCCGCCACCACGCCCGGCUGAUUUUUUGUAUUUUUAGUAGAGAUGGGGUUUCACCGUGUUAGUUAGGAUGGUCUCAAUCUCCUGACCUCGUGAUCCGCCUGCCUCGGCCUCCCAAAGUGCUGGGAUUACAGGCGUGAGCCACCGCGCCCGGCCUCUUUAUUCUUGUUAUUGCCAAAUAAUAUCCCCCUGUGUGAGAAGUCCACAUUGUGUUUAUUUGGUCAUCAGUGGAUGGACAUUUGGAUUGCUUCUACGCCCUGGCUCUUGUGAGUAACCCUGAUGUAAAUAUGUGUGUACAUGUUUUGUUUUGUUUUGAGACAGAGUCUUGCUCUGUCGCCCAGGCUGGAGUGCAGUGGCACAAUCUCAGCUCACUGCAACCUCUGUCUCCCAGGUUCAAACGAUUCUCCUGCCUCAGCCUCCCAAGUAGCUGGGACUACAGGCACCCGCCACCACUCCCAGCUAAUUUUUGUAUUUUUAGUAGAGACGGAGUUUCAGCAUGUUGGCCAGGUUGGUCUCCAUCUCCUGACCUCGUGAUCUGCCCACUUCAGCCUCCCAAAGUGCUGGGAUUACAGGCGUGAGCCACCGUGCCCGACCGUGUGUACAUGUUUUCGUGUGGACAGGUGUUUGCAUUCUUCUAGGGCAGGUGCCCGGGAGUGGGAUCUCUGGGUGGAAGUCAUUUUGACAAAAUGAAAGCGCAUCUUUAUUUAAGAGGCUAUUGAGUGGCAUCAGAGUGUCCUGAGCACUGGAGAGGGAGGUGGGAGUUGGAACUCUGAUCUGGGCUGUACUGUGUGGUGACUAUAGGACCUUGGUCAAAGGCCUUCUCUGAGUUGGUCACAAUGACAAGGGGGCAGGAGUGGACAGGCCCAGCCCUUAGUGGAUACUCGCAUCCCCCAGCCCCUGGGGAAGGAGCUAAGGUUUUUCUGACACCUGUGCUGGGAGAGAUGAUGAUACCCAUCUAGAGGGCAGAGAAGGAACAGGACGUGGGCCUGAGCCCUGGCUCCCUGCCAGAGCCUUCUGCUGCUCAGAGCCAGGAAGACAGCAUUUUCCUGCUGUAAUCGCCACCAAUUUUCAUUUGCACUUGAAUGUCUACCCCGUUUUACUCUAUUGUAUCUCCUUAGACUUGAAAGUAAACCUUAGCUCAUUCUAAUGAAAGCCAUGCAAAGCUCAGCCAGAAAUUUAAUCGUAUUUACUAAGAAGCUAAUAAAUAUUUACUACAAAAUUCAUUGCUCCGUAAAAUUGAAGACAACACUUUCUGCAUGCUUUUUCAGCUGUGAGGCCAGGCUGGGGAAGAGGGGGAGACAGUCUGGGAAGGAGAGAGGAAGGAUCCGACUUGUUUCCUUGUUAGAGCUAAACUGUGGUCUUCCCUCCAAUGUUUUCUGCAAUGGGAACCCAUCACUUGCCAUGACUUUGAUCUGAGCUUGAUCGUUUUAUUCAGAAGGAAAGCUUUCCUACAAGCAAUUCAUUUCCGUUGCAUUUCCAAACCAGAUCUAUUUGAUUAUGCAUGGGAAGCUUACAACAUUUUCCACUGAGACGGUUUUUGAAUUAACUGAAAACUUAGCUGUUUCAUAAUUUCUGAAUUGUAGAUUUUUGGCUCCCCUUCUUGGUCUCAUAACUCCAUCGAUGGGUCUUUUUAAAUCUGAAAUUUGCCAUAGGCUGAGUCCUCAAAGAAAGAUAUAUACCCUUGACAUUUGAAAGAAAUUAAUGGAAAAUCACUAAAUCCCUUCAAAUGCUACAUCGAAAUGUAGUUACAACUCUUUCCUCAGGCCCAGUGAGGAUUGAAUCAUAGCAAAAUCUUCAUGUUUAAUAUUGAAAUUUUAUCCAGGAGACCCCCCCCAAAAAAAUGCCUUGCAACGGGCAGCUCAGCAUUUCCCAGACCUGCUGGGAGCGCUCUCUGGCUCUAACUUGGAGCUGUGGCAACUGGAAGAUGAACCCGUGAACCUGGCUUUUCCCAAACUGCAAGUCUAAGGCUCCAGAGAAGUCAGAGCCCCAAGGGCUAAAGCAUGAGCCAUGGUUGGGGGUUCUCUGGAAACACACCAACAGCUGCUUCCCAUUUGCCUCCAGAAUCUUCAGGAGCUCAGAGCCUCUCAGUGUGUGUGUCACACCUGCUCACGUGCCGUUGGCUGAAGCAAGUGACAUGGCUGGGCCCAAACGGAAGGAGUGGGGAGCAGAUCCUCUCCGUAGAAGGAACAAAGUCAGAUGCCAAGGGGCACGGGCGCAGAGAUAGGAGGACGGUGCACCACCCUGCAGUCCGCACUGAGCCCUGCCAGCACCACAUUCAUGGGCUGCUGCACCCAUUCCCUAACCGUGGUGAGUGCGGGCUGUUGACAGCACGCCCGCCUCCUUUUCAGAGCACGGCCUUGGCUGACAGGAGCCACACAUCCUGGCUGUGCUCUUCCUCACUGCCUGGGAGUCACAGCCGAUGGCUGGCCGGGCCCCCUUUCUUCAAGGCGGGGCAAAGCAGUGGUGUGGGCUGUGGUCCAGAGAGCACCUGACUUGAGCCUACACCCUUGCUCGGCUCUUUCCCCUUCCCCGUGCCGCUGUCUUCCCUCCCUCCCAGGCGUUUAUUGAAGAGCCUUCCCUCAAUAAGCCACGCGCCCUGAAUCCCUGCUCCAGCUCCACUUCCCGGGACCUCCAGGGCCAAGGCGGUGCUUUCCAAGGGUGGUCCAUGGUGUUUCCUGCCCAGCACGCUUUUCGACACUGCGGUCUGACGCUCCUUCUGAGAUAGGGGAGGUCUGUGUCCCCUCCCCUUGAGUCUGGGCAGGCAGGUGACUUGCUUGUAGCCAGUGGGGUAUGGCAGAAGUGACACUAUGUGACGUCCGAUGGUGGUCGUCAGUGUGGCACAGGAACACCUGCUCUCAAAGCUGCCAGACUGCCUGCCUGCUGCGAGGAGGCCGGGGGCACCCCUGUGGGCACACGCCUGGCCAGCCCCACACUAGUCAACUCCAGCCGUUGUCCGAAGGCAACUGCAGGACAGACUCCAGCUAAACCUUGCCCGAGUUCCUGACCCCCAGAAAUCUGGAGAAAAUAAAAAAAAGAUCGUUGUUAUUUAAGCCA